GAUGAACGCUGGCGGCGUGCUUAACACAUGCAAGUCGAACGAUGAACCAGGUGCUUGCACUUGGGGAUUAGUGGCGAACGGGUGAGUAACACGUGAGUAACCUGCCCCUGACUUCAGGAUAAGCCCGGGAAACUGGGUCUAAUACUGGAUAUGACUAUUGACCGCAUGGUUGGUGGUGGAAAGAUUUAUUGGUUGGGGAUGGACUCGCGGCCUAUCAGCUUGUUGGUGAGGUAAUGGCUCACCAAGGCGACGACGGGUAGCCGGCCUGAGAGGGUGACCGGCCACACUGGGACUGAGACACGGCCCAGACUCCUACGGGAGGCAGCAGUGGGGAAUAUUGCACAAUGGGCGAAAGCCUGAUGCAGCGACGCCGCGUGAGGGAUGACGGCCUUCGGGUUGUAAACCUCUUUCAGUAGGGAAGAAGCCGAAAGGUGACGGUACUUGCAGAAGAAGCGCCGGCUAACUACGUGCCAGCAGCCGCGGUAAUACGUAGGGCGCGAGCGUUAUCCGGAUUUAUUGGGCGUAAAGAGCUCGUAGGCGGUUUGUCGCGUCUGCCGUGAAAGACCAGGGCUCAACCCUGGUUCUGCGGUGGGUACGGGCAGACUAGAGUGAUGUAGGGGAGACUGGAAUUCCUGGUGUAGCGGUGAAAUGCGCAGAUAUCAGGAGGAACACCGAUGGCGAAGGCAGGUCUCUGGGCAUUUACUGACGCUGAGGAGCGAAAGCAUGGGGAGCGAACAGGAUUAGAUACCCUGGUAGUCCAUGCCGUAAACGUUGGGCACUAGGUGUGGGGGACAUUCCACGUUUUCCGCGCCGUAGCUAACGCAUUAAGUGCCCCGCCUGGGGAGUACGGCCGCAAGGCUAAAACUCAAAGGAAUUGACGGGGGCCCGCACAAGCGGCGGAGCAUGCGGAUUAAUUCGAUGCAACGCGAAGAACCUUACCAAGGCUUGACAUGUGCCAGACCGCCUCAGAGAUGGGGUUUCCCUUCGGGGCUGGUUCACAGGUGGUGCAUGGUUGUCGUCAGCUCGUGUCGUGAGAUGUUGGGUUAAGUCCCGCAACGAGCGCAACCCUCGUUCCAUGUUGCCAGCACGUAGUGGUGGGGACUCAUGGGAGACUGCCGGGGUCAACUCGGAGGAAGGUGGGGAUGACGUCAAAUCAUCAUGCCCCUUAUGUCUUGGGCUUCACGCAUGCUACAAUGGCCGGUACAAUGGGUUGCGAUACUGUGAGGUGGAGCUAAUCCCUAAAAGCCGGUCUCAGUUCGGAUUGGGGUCUGCAACUCGACCCCAUGAAGUCGGAGUCGCUAGUAAUCGCAGAUCAGCAACGCUGCGGUGAAUACGUUCCCGGGCCUUGUACACACCGC
rnacentral:rRNA from 1 species